GGAGAGAUGGCCGAGUGGUUGAAGGCGCCUGAUUCGAAAUCAGGUAUAGGGACAAAAUCUCUAUCGGGGGUUCGAAUCCCCCUCUCUCCG
rnacentral:tRNA from 1 species